rnacentral:rRNA from 1 species
GCUUGUCUCAAAGAUUAAGCCAUGCAUGUCUUAGUGUAAAUAACUCUUAUGAAACUGCGAAUGGCUCAUUAAAUCAGUUAUCAAAUACGUGAUGGUCGCCUACUACAUGGAUAACCGUAGUAAUUCUAGAGCUAAUACAUGCACAAAGGCCCACUCACGUGGGUUGUGAUUAUUAGAUUCAAACCGGCCUCGUUCUGGUGAUUCAUAAUAACUUUCGGAUCGAUUUAUCGAUGCAUCAUUCAAGUUUCUGCCCUAUCAGCUUUGGAUGGUAGGGUAUUGGCCUACCAUGGCUUUAACGGGUAACGGAGAAUUAGGGUUCGAUUCCGGAGAGGGAGCCUGAGAAAUGGCUACCACAUCCAAGGAAGGCAGCAGG